rnacentral:rRNA from 1 species
UACGAAGGGGGCUAGCGUUGUUCGGAAUUACUGGGCGUAAAGCGCGUGUAGGCGGGUGUCUAAGUCAGGGGUGAAAUGCCGAGGCUCAACCUCGGAACUGCCUUUGAUACUGGAUAUCUGGAGUCCGGGAGAGGUGAGUGGAACUGCGAGUGUAGAGGUGAAAUUCGUAGAUAUUCGCAAGAACACCAGUGGCGAAGGCGGCUCACUGGCCCGGAACUGACGCUGAGACGCGAAAGCGUGGGGAGCAAACAGG